AUUGAACGCUGGCGGUAGGCCUAACACAUGCAAGUCGAACGGCAGCACAGUAAUAGCUUGCUCUUACGGGUGGCGAGUGGCGGACGGGUGAUGAAUACAUCGGAAUCUACUUUUUCUUGGGGGAUAACGUAGGGAAACUUACGCUAAUACCGCAUACGACCUACGGGUGAAAGCAUGGGAUCUUCGGACCUUGCGCGAUUGAAUGAGCCGAUGUCGGAUUAGCUAGUUGGCGGGGUAAAGGCCCACCAAUGCGACGAUCCGUAGCUGGUCUGAGAGGAUGAACGGUCACACUGGAACUGAGAGACGGUCCAGACACCUACGGGAGGCAGCAUUGGGGAAAAUUGGACAAUGGGCGAAAGUCUUAUCCAGCCAUGCCGCGGGAGUGAAGAAGGUCUUCGAAUUGUAAAGCACUUUAAGUUGAGAAGAAGGACAGUAAGUUAAUACCUUGCUGUUUUGACGUUACCAACAGAAUAAGCACCGGCUAACUUCGUG
rnacentral:rRNA from 1 species